CUCAAACUCAGGCCAGUACUCCUACCUCAGCCUCCUCGGUGCUGAAAUUUCCGGCAUACUUGAUGACAUCACUAGCCAUUGCUGACCAAGGUGGCCUUCACCUCUGACCUGUUCCUGAAAGUUGUGAUGGGACAAGCCAUGGAGAUGGCCAGAGGGGCCAACAAAGCGGCAAGAAGAAAGCGGGGAGCACUUAGGGAUGGAGGCACAGGUUGGUUGGUUUGUUUUUCAAAAUUUCUCACAUUUGUUUAUUUAUCAUGUGGACAUGGAGUAGGGAGACGUGGAGUAGGGGGUGGGGUGUGAAUGUGUGAACCGUGGUCCACAUAUCGGGACAACAUCAGGAAUCGUUUUCUUCCUUCCGCCUCGUGGGUUCUCAGAAAAACUCAGGUCCUGAUGCUUAGUGGGAAGAGCCUGAGAUUCCCUGCACCCAGAGGUACUGUCCUCCUAAGCAUGGUAUGGAUUUAUAGCUUCCAGGUGCAGUGAGAAAUGGUUGGAGGGCUACAUACAAGGCCUAGCAUGUUCUGAUGUAUUAUUGUUGUUAAUAAUAAAAUAUUUCCCUAGUAA